rnacentral:rRNA from 1 species
UACAGAGGUCUCAAGCGUUGUUCGGAUUCAUUGGGCGUAAAGGGUGUGUAGGUGGCGCCGUAAGUCGGGUGUGAAAUUUCGGAGCUUAACUCCGAAACUGCAUUCGAUACUGCGGUGCUUGAGGACUGGAGAGGAGACUGGAAUUCAUGGUGUAGCAGUGAAAUGCGUAGAGAUCAUGAGGAAGACCAGUGGCGAAGGCGGGCCUCUGGACAGUUCCUGACACUGAGACACGAAAGCGUGGGGAGCAAACAGG